UCAUUGCCGUCUCCUCCUCAUCAACCGGUCUGCUGACUUCAAUUUGGGCUUGUCUGAGUGUGUGAAAACAGCAAGGAAUCUCACCCACAGGAUGGAUGCCGGAGAACAGACGCUGACCCUUCUGAGCAGGAUAUGGAUGAAGCUGCAGAAUCUGCCCAAAGCGAAUGAUAUAGAGCUGGGGGCUUUCUUCGUCUUGCUAAUCUUCAUUUUGGUGAUCGUGCUCAUGGUGGUACUGACCUGCCUGACCUGCUGCUCCUGCUGCCCCUGCUGCCCCUGCUGUCGGAAGAACAAGA